AUUUUUGCAAUGAUUCUUUCUCAUCUUUGUGGGUUUAUCUGCCUUUGAUUUUUGAGGUUGCUGACUUUCAGAUUUUUUUUUUUUUUUUGGUGGUGGUGGUUAUUGUUUUCUGUUUGUUUGUUUUUCUUCUAACAGUCUGGCCACUCUUCCAUAGGUCUGCUGUGGUUUGCUGGGGUGCUACUCCUGACCCUAGUUGCCUUAGUUUUUCCCGUACCUGGGGGUAUCACCAGUGAAGGCUGUAAAAAGGCAAAGAUGGCAGCCUGCCCCUUCCUCUGGAAGCUCUGUUCCAGGUGCCGUGGAAGUGUGGCCUGCAGAACAAUGCUGCUCAGCUCCCUGGAUUCUGACCACUUCCUAGGGGUAUGUGCAGACCUCUUGCCUUGCCUGAGUUGCAAACAUGUUUGUUGGAAAUCCCAGUGCCGGAGUACGUAAAGCACCUGGGUCUCUGUGCAUGCCUGAACAGCUGCUCUGCCAAGACUCCACAUAGCUCAGUGUGUUGGACCUAAGGCCCUGGUGGUAUGGGCUCACAAAGGGAAUCUACUGAUCCAUGGAUUACAAAGAUCCAUGGGAGAAGCCUGGUUUCCUGGGGUUGCACAAUCACUCAUGGCUUCCCUUGGCUAGGGAUGGGGGUUCCCUUGGCAAGAACCUGGGUAUUUCAUUUGAAGGUGCUGUAUUCACUCACCUUUUUUGUUACUCUCUGUGAGUGCUGUGGACCACAGUUGCUUCUAAUUGGCCAUCUUGGACCCUCCCUGAUGUUCUACCUUCCAAAUCUUUAAAAACAAUUUUCUUAACCAUAUUCAUCAUGGUUUUUUAAAAAGUACAUGUUUAGUAACCAUUAUUUGUAUCUCAUGUGGGUCUACUUUCUUAUUUUGCGUAUGUGUCUUGCCUCAUGAUAUGUCUUAUUACUUUCAAUUAUUGGUCAUUCAAAAUUGUAUUUGAAAAUUAUAGAGAUUGUUAGAAGUUUAGAAUGAUGUCAUGUUCUUCUAGAAAUGAUUUAUGUUUACAAAUCCAGAUAUAUAUUCAGGAAUUAGUGUAUUAAGCUGAAUAUCAGUCCCUGCAAAGCCCUGUCAAUUUCUAGUAUUACCUUCCUCCUACUGUAGUGCCCUUUAGGGUUCUAACAAAAGACCUGUAGUCCAUCAGGAUCCUCAAUCCUUGGCAGGUCUUGAACCCCAAUUUUGUCCUACUAACUAUGAAAUCUGUUUACAUCCUUGCUUAGCUUGUGUCUCCUGGAAUUGGCAGAUAUCCCUAGGGGAAAAUCAGCCUGAGGUACCUGGUUUAACUCUGGGUUUCUCCCAGAAUUUGGCCACCUAAUUUUUCUCUAUAUUUUUAGUCCUUAGAUGCUGUGAGAUCCAUGUUUGCAUAAGCUUUUUCACUUCUUUUUAUCUGUUCUCAGUGGAAUGAUUGGUCUGAUUACUUUGCCAUUACUAGAUGAGUGUGUUUUACUUUUUUAUUGAAUGUCCAAAAUAUGGUAUACUCUCUAUAAAAAAUCCAUAUUUAUACCUAUUCUGAUUUUGAAUAAGGGAAGACUAUUGAAUGAAUUAAUGAAAUAUGGGGGUUUCACGUUUUAUUUCUCUGGACAAUGUUUUAUUUACUUAAUUAAAGACCUCUGUUUUGUGUAUAAUGCUCUGCAAACAAACAUUUUAGUUGUACAGGUAUGUUUUAAUUUUUCCUAUUCUAUUUGUAGUUCAAGACUUGACAAAAAUGUUAUUUUCACCAUGAGCCUUUUUUUGAUAUCUCCAGGCAAAAUAGUUGUUUUCUCUUUAGGAUCUCCAUAUUUAUUUUACAGUCUUAAAAUCACUGUAACCAUCUAUGUGGUUUAUAUCUGUUUUAUUUCUGCUAUACAAUUAAGCUUAGGAAGAAGAAAUUGUGUAUUACCAAAAUAUACACAUUCCAAAAUACCUAACUUUUUUUUUUGCAUAGAAUGAGAACUUAGUAUAUAUUUGGAAAAUAAAUAGAUGGAUGAAUGAAUAAUAAAUAAAGAUGCUGGAGUGCAGUGAAAGGAAUGUUAAUUGGAAUAAGAAGAGGUAGGUUUACUUGUUGUCUCUGCCUUUGGGCAAGUGUUUUAACGUUUUCUCAGUGCCCUUAUUUGUGAAACUGAAGUAAAUGGCUACCUCAAGGAGUGUUGAUCUCUGCCCGUGGACAAGUAUUUUAAAUGUUUUCUGUGUCUUUAUUUGUAAAAUGCGAACAAAUGACUACCUCAAGGAGAUCUGAAACUUAAAAACAUAAGUGCACAUUUAUCUUAAUGUGCAUUGUAGAAUAAUAUACAAAUAUAAGGCAGCCACUUAUAUUUUAAAAACCUGUGGUGGUAGGGGUGGGGAAUAUAUGCCUGUAAAGGCAUAAAAUAUCUUGAGAAGAGUACAUAAGCAACUGUAGGCAGAGAAACUGGAUAGAGGGAAGACAGGUUAGAAAUUUGACUUUUUAUGUUAUAUACCUUUUGAAUUUUGAACCACAUGCUUAUGUUAACUACUAAAGAUAAAACAAAUUGGAAUUUAAGAAAAAUAUAGUAUAUUAUUAUUUCAUUUUGUAUCAGAGAACUCCAU
rnacentral:lncRNA from 10 species